GAUGAACGCUGGCGGCGUGCCUAAUACAUGCAAGUCGAGCGGUAACACUUCGGGUGACGAGCGGCGGACGGCUGAGUAACACGUAGGAAUCUACCCCAGACUGAGGGAUAAGCACCGGAAACGGUGUCUAAUACCGCAUACGCUCUAAGGAGUAAAGCUUCGGCGGUUUGGGAAGAGCCUGCGCAUGAUUAGCUUGUUGGUAAGGUAAUGGCUUACCAAGGCGACGAUCAUUAGCUGGUCUGAGAGGAUGAUCAGCCAGACUGGGACUGAGACACGGCCCAGACUCCUACGGGAGGCAGCAGUAGGGAAUUUUCCACAAUGGGCGAAAGCCUGAUGGAGCAACGCCGCGUGCAGGAUGAAGGCCUUCGGGUUGUAAACUGCUUUUAUAUGUGAAGAUUAUGACGGUAGCAUAUGAAUAAGGAUCGGCUAACUCCGUGCCAGCAGCCGCGGUAA
rnacentral:rRNA from 1 species